rnacentral:lncRNA from 1 species
CAGGACUGUUGAAGCCUUCGGAGACCCUGUCCCUCACCUGCGCUGUCUAUGGUGGGUCCUUCAGUGGUUACUACUGGAGCUGGAUCCGCCAGCCCCCAGGGAAGGGGCUGGAGUGGAUUGGGGAAAUCAAUCAUAGUGGAAGCACCAACUACAACCCGUCCCUCAAGAGUCGAGUCACCAUAUCAGUAGACACGUCCAAGAACCAGUUCUCCCUGAAGCUGAGCUCUGUGACCGCCGCGGACACGGCUGUGUAUUACUGUGCGAGUACUUUGACUACUGGGGCCAGGGAACCCUGGUCACCGUCUCCUCAGGGAGUGCAUCCGCCCCAACCCUU